UAAUAUAAUAGUUUAAUCAAAACAUCGAUUUUGUAAUUCGAAAAUAUCUUCUUAUAUUAUCAGAAAAGAAGUCAUCUUAA
rnacentral:tRNA from 1 species